GACGAACGCUGGCGGCGUGCCUAAUACAUGCAAGUCGAGCGGAAGUUGGAGAGCUUGCUCUCCAACUUUAGCGGCGGACGGGUGAGCAACACGUGGGCAACCUGCCCUGCAGAUCGGGAUAACUCCGGGAAACCGGUGCUAAUACCGAAUAGUUUUCGCCACCUCCUGGUGGCGUACGGAAAGACGGUUUCGGCUGUCACUGCAGGAUGGGCCCGCGGCGCAUUAGCUAGUUGGUGGGGUAACGGCCCACCAAGGCAACGAUGCGUAGCCGACCUGAGAGGGUGAUCGGCCACACUGGGACUGAGACACGGCCCAGAAUCCUACGGGAGGCAGCAGUAGGGAAUCUUCCGCAAUGGACGAAAGUCUGACGGAGCAACGCCGCGUGAGUGACGAAGGUUUUCGGAUCGUAAAACUCUGUUGUGAGGGAAGAACAAGUGCCAACUAACUACUGGUACCUUGACGGUACCUCACCAGAAAGCCACGGCUAACUACGUGCCAGCCGCCGCCGUAACAC
rnacentral:rRNA from 1 species